rnacentral:tRNA from 1 species
GCUUUUAAAGGAAAAUAGUCUUCCCUUGGACUUAGGCUCCAAUAUCUCUUAGUGCAAAUCUCAGUAAAAGCC